AGAGUUUGAUUAUGGCUCAGGAUGAACGCUGGCGGCGUGCUUAACACAUGCAAGUCGAACGGGAAAUAUUUCAUUGAGACUUCGGUGGAUUUGAUUUAUUUCUAGUGGCGGACGGGUGAGUAACGCGUGGGUAACCUGCCUUAUACAGGGGGAUAACAGUCAGAAAUGGCUGCUAAUACCGCAUAAGCGCACAGAGCUGCAUGGCUCAGUGUGAAAAACUCCGGUGGUAUAAGAUGGACCCGCGUUGGAUUAGCUUGUUGGUGGGGUAACGGCCCACCAAGGCGACGAUCCAUAGCCGGCCUGAGAGGGUGAACGGCCACAUUGGGACUGAGACACGGCCCAG
rnacentral:rRNA from 1 species